rnacentral:tRNA from 1 species
GACGGUCGUCGUCGAGGUCGGCGGCAAGCGGCUCGAGGUGUCGCUGCCGGCGUCCCUCGGGAUGACGCUCGCCCGUACGGGACUGGCGGCGGGCGCCA